rnacentral:rRNA from 1 species
GGGACAUUUUAUGCUCUGAUAAUUGGAAUGAUGGGAAUGUAAAACCCUUCCAGAGUAACAAUUGGAGGGAAGUCUGGUGCCAGCAGCCGCGGUAAUUCCAGCUCCAAUAGUGUAUAUUAGAGUUGUUGCAGUUAAAAAGCUCGUAGUUGGAUUUCUGCUGUGGUCAUCCGGUACCGCCCGUAUGGGUGCGCACCUGGUUUGGCUCCGGCUUUCUUCCUGUAGCCGUCCGCGCUUAAUUGCGUGUACUGUGUUACGGAACUUUUACUUUGAGAAAAAUAGAGUGUUUCAAGCAGGCUUGUCGCCCUGAAUACUUCAGCAUGGAAUAAUAGGAUAGGACCUUGGUUCUAUUUUGUUGGUUUCUAGGACCAAGGUAAUGAUUAAUAGGGACAUUUGG